rnacentral:rRNA from 1 species
CCUACGGGCGGCAGCAGUGGGGAAUAUUGCACAAUGGGGGGAACCCUGAUGCAGCGACGCCGCGUGAGUGAAGAAGUAUCUCGGUAUGUAAAGCUCUAUCAGCAGGGAAGAAGAUGACGGUACCUGACUAAGAUGCCCCGGCUAACUACGUGCCAGCAGCCGCGGUAAUAUGUCGGGGGCAAGCGUGAUCCGGAUUUACUGGGCGUAAAGGGAGCGUAGACGGCAAGGCAAGUCUGGAGUGAAAGCCCGGGGCCCAACCCCGGGACUGCUUUGGAAACUGCCAUGCUAGAGUGCUGGAGAGGUAAGCGGAAUUCCUGGUGUAGCGGUGAAAUGCGUAGAUAUUAGGAAGAACACCGGUGGCGAAGGCGGCUUACUGGACAGUAACUGACGUUGAGGCUCGAAAGCGUGGGGAGCAAACAGGAUUAGAUACCCCGGUAGUC